CCUACGGGAGGCAGCAGUGGGGAAUAUUGCACAAUGGGCGAAAGCCUGAUGCAGCGACGCCGCGUGAGGGAUGAAGGCCUUCGGGUUGUAAACCUCUUUCAGCAGGGACGAAGCGGAAGUGACGGUACCUGCAGAAGAAGCACCGGCUAACUACGUGCCAGCAGCCGCGGUAAU
rnacentral:rRNA from 1 species